rnacentral:rRNA from 1 species
ACUUACAAGCUGUGGAAGCACAUUUCUUGUGUGACCGCGUACUUUUUGUAGAACGGGCCAACGAGUUACGUUAAGUAGCACGGUUAAGCACUUAAGGUGUGGAGCCGUAGCGAAAGCGAGUUUUAACUGAGCGUUCAGUUACUUGACGUAGACCCGAAACCGGGCGACCUACCCAUGAGCAGGCUGAAGCGAAAGUAAAAUUUCGUGG